rnacentral:rRNA from 1 species
AACCUGGUUGAUCCUGCCAGUAUUUCAUACGCUCGUCUCAAAGAUUAAAGCCAUGCAUGUCUAAGUAUAAAUACUUUUACUUUGAAACUGCGAACGGCUCAUUAUAUCAGUUAUAGUUUAUUUGAUAGUCCCUUACUACUUGGAUAACCGUAGUAAUUCUACAGCUAAUACAUGCAUCAAUACCCAACUGUUCGCGGACGGGUAGUAUUUAUUAGAUAGAAACCACCCUCUUCGGAGGCGCUCAGGUGAUCCUGAUACUCUGCGAAUCGCAUGGCCUCGUGCCGGCGAUGGAUC